rnacentral:rRNA from 1 species
AUUGAACGCUGGCGGCAGGCCUAACACAUGCAAGUCGGACGGUAGCACAGAGGAGCUUGCUCCUUGGGUGACGAGUGGCGGACGGGUGAGUAAUGUCUGGGGAUCUGCCCGAUAGAGGGGGAUAACCACUGGAAACGGUGGCUAAUACCGCAUAACGUCGCAAGACCACAGAGGGGGACCUUCGGGCCUCUCACUAUCGGAUGAACCCAGAUGGGAUUAGCUAGUAGGCGGGGUAAUGGCCCACCUAGGCGACGAUCCCUAGCUGGUCUGAGAGGAUAACCAGUCACACUGGAACUGAGACACGGUCCAGACUCCUACGGGAGGCAGCAGUGGGGAAUAUUGCACAAUGGGCGCAAGCCUGAUGCAGCCAUGCCGCGUGUAUGAAGAAGGCCUUCGGGUUGUAAAGUACUUUCAGCGGGGAGGAAGGCGGUGAGGUUAAUAACCUCGCCGAUUGACGUUACCCGCAGAAGAAGCACCGGCUAACUCCGUGCCAGCCGCCGCGGUAA